rnacentral:rRNA from 1 species
GAUGAACGCUAGCGGCAGGCCUAAUACAUGCAAGUCGGACGGGAUUGAGUAGCUUGCUAUUCAUGAGAGUGGCGCACGGGUGCGUAACACGUAUGUAACCUACCCUUGUCAGGGGGAUAGCCUCUCGGAAGAGAGAUUAAGACCGCAUAACAUUGUAAUGUGGCAUCACAAAACAAUCAAAUAUUUAUAGGACAAGGAUGGGCAUGCGGAACAUUAGCUAGUUGGUAAGGUAACGGCUUACCAAGGCUACGAUGUUUAGGGGAUCUGAGAGGAUGACCCCCCACACUGGUACUGAGACACGGACCAGACUCCUACGGGAGGCAGCAGUAAGGAAUAUUGGUCAAUGGGCGGAAGCCUGAACCAGCCAUGCCGCGUGCAGGAAGACGGCCCUAUGGGUUGUAAACUGCUUUUGCAGGGGAAUAAACCUCGAUACGUGUAUCGAGCUGAAUGUACUCUGAGAAUAAGGAUCGGCUAACUCCGUGCCAGCCGCCGCGGUAAAAC